rnacentral:rRNA from 1 species
AUUGAACGCUGGCGGCAUGCUUUACACAUGCAAGUCGAACGGUAACAGGUUAAGCUGACGAGUGGCGAACGGGUGAGUAAUGCAUCGGAACGUGCCCGAUCGUGGGGGAUAACGCAGCGAAAGCUGCGCUAAUACCGCAUACGAACUGAGGAUGAAAGCGGGGGAACGUAAGGCCUCGCGCGAUCGGAGCGGCCGAUGUCAGAUUAGGUAGUUGGUGGGGUAAAGGCCCACCAAGCCGACGAUCUGUAGCUGGUCUGAGAGGACGACCAUCCACACUGAGACUGAGACACGGCCCAGACUCCUACGGGAGGCAGCAGUGGGGAAUUUUGGACAAUGGGCGAAAGCCUGAUCCAGCAAUGCCGCGUGCAGGAAGAAGGCCUUCGGGUUGUAAACUGCUUUUGUACGGAGCGAAAAGGUCCUUUCUAAUACAAGGGGCUCAUGACGGUACCGUAAGAAUAAGCACCGGCUAACUACGUGCCAGCCGCCGCAGUAAAAC